AUUGAACGCUGGCGGCAUGCCUUACACAUGCAAGUCGAACGGUAACAGGUCUUCGGAUGCUGACGAGUGGCGAACGGGUGAGUAAUACAUCGGAACGUGCCCAGACCUGGGGGUUAACGAGGCGAAAGCUUUGCUAAUACCGCAUACGAUCUAAGGAUGAAAGCAGGGGACCGCAAGGCCUUGUGCGUUCUGAGCGGCCGAUGGCAGAUUAGGUAGUUGUUGGGAUAAAAGCUUACCAAGCCGACGAUCUGUAGCUGGUCUGAGAGGACGACCAGCCACACUGGAACUGAGACACGGCCCAGACUCCUACGGGAGGCAGCAGUGGGGAAUUUUGGACAAUGGGCGAAAGCCUGAUCCAGCAAUGCCGCGUGCAGGAUGAAGGCCUUCGGGUUGUAAACUGCUUUUGUACGGAACGAAAAGGCUCUGGCUAAUACCUGGGGGACAUGACGGUACCGUAAGAAUAAGCACCGGCUAACUACGUG
rnacentral:rRNA from 1 species